CUGUUAGGGGAAUGAUGUAUUAUUAUAGGGCUCUUAAGAUGCUUGCAUUUCUCGACUCUGCAUCUGAAGAAGUUAUACAG